AUGUUAUUGAGAAUCAUCAGUCAACUGUGGAUUAUUCUCUUCCUUGGAUAUCUCACAUUAAGAAUGAAGAUUUCAAGUAUCUCGCAAUGGUUGAUAGGAAUUACGAGUCUAGUAAAAAUUUCGGGGUUUUACCACUAUGAGACAUAUCAUGCACCCACUAUGCCAAUGUGGUGCCUGUUAACAAUGCACCUGAUGUUGCUGCUAUGUUUCAUUCAGUUCCUUAUGUGGAGGUCAACAAUGCCAAUAGUGUUCCUGAAGCUCUCAAUGAGGACACGUCAAUUGAUUCAAAAAGUCCACAUAUCAUUUCAGAAGGUCCCAGUGCAAAAGUUGAACCCGAUGUAA
rnacentral:rRNA from 1 species